UUUUUCUUCUUGGGCACCCAGAGAAGCGAAUCAACUUACUCCUCCAGAGGUUCCUUGGGAUUGCCAGAUAAAUGAAGUGAAGCUCCCUGAGGUGAAGCGGGUAAAGUAAGCAGGACCUAAACGAGGAAACAGGUCUCAAACUAUGCUCUCUGCAAUGAGGGGUGUUGUUGGCUGGAAUACUCUACCACUCAUUAGCACAGGCUCCGGACAUGCAGGCUCAGCGGCCAUGGCUCAUGGGAC